ACUGUAAUGCUUCCAAAAUUCACAUAAACAACGGAUCCCGGCUCCUUGGAUUCAAGCCAUUCAAGACACUUAGUAUCUUCUUUCCAAAGGUUGGAACCUAAAGAAUCCAAUUGAUGAAUUUGUGGAGUUUGGUUUAAUAAUGAAGGUAAAGGGCCAAUGGGGUAAAGAGAAGGAAACAUAGAGGAGAGAGCAUUUAUUACAUCACUCUAAAGUUCAUGGAAAGUAUUCAAAACAAUUGUAGAGUCUCCAAGAACUUUAUCAGCCGCAUCAAUUACAAAGUCUAACAUAAUAUCAUUUGGAUCUGUUGUCCUGAUACUGUCAAAGAUAUCCUUUAACCGAAAGUUUUUCAAACCUGGAAUCCAAUCUACAUUAGUUUCCAAAUAUCCAUUUGUUAGAUAGCUCUGAUCUGCAUAUCAAAUGUAUCAGUUAAUAUCUUGAAGGUUAUACAUACAUCCGUACAUACAUGAGUAUUUUGUUUUCGACAAAAACAUACAUAUAUAAUAAGGUAUUAUAAAUUGAAUAAAAGUCAUUUAUUGAUGUAUAAAUUUUAAUUUUGAAGUUUUAUGAAAUUUGUGGAGUUCCUCUAUUCAAUAAGAGUUUUUAAUUUGAUGGUUGCUUUAUUGAAAUUUAGUGUCUACAUUGAGUUUUAUAUUAACUGAAACUAUAUCAAGUGUUACUCUUGGAGUAAGUUGAUUAUCUCGCACACGACCAUUUAUAUAGAUUUAAUUCAUAUAUAGAGUCAAAGUAAAAGUUUUUUACACCGUCAAUAAAUCAUAAGUGUCAGAAUAGUGUAGCAAAAUUAAUAUUAAUCUCUCUAUAAAUAUAUACUUUAUGAAGAAAAAAACUUAACUUAGUACCUUUGAGUGGCGUGAGACCUUUUUCUACAAAGGAACGUAAGUGGUGAAUACUCAGUAACAAACUUGCACUGGAUGGAAAGAAGAUAACAAUUGGUAGUGCAAAUUCUUCAGCAGCUUGUAUAGUAAAGCUCAUAAAAUAAUCAGAAACUAAGCAAGUAACUGGUGGAACAUUGGCAGAGUCAUUAAGUCUUGUAAGAAGUUCACAAAAAGGUUUAAGGAAAUUUUUUCUUAUAGAUUGAGCAAGAGAAGGUACAUCUUGACUAACAUCACCAUCACCUUCUAUCGGUGUUAGACCAUCUGGUAUGGUUUCAAAGCAAAAACCACGGGAACCAUCUAAGGCAUUUGGACCUCUUGAUUUUAGCAAUCGUUUAUGAUUGUAUUCAGUGUUGACAAAGGUUAUAUGAAAUCCUCUAAGGUGAAGAAGUUUUGCAAGUUUGAACAAUGGAUUUAUAUGUCCUUGAAAUGGAGCUGGAAUCAACACAGCAUGUGGUUUUCUGUUUGCAAAACUUCCCAUCUUUGAAAUUUUUCUGUUUGUAUGUUAUUUGUGCAAGAUAUGAGGUUGAAAAACAAGUGAUAGGCAUGUGCUUUUAUAGAGAGAAAAAAGGACAAUGCUACAAAAUUGAAAAAUAUAAAGAAAUCCAAACAGAUAAAUUCUGGGAGGUUCUAACAAAAGGAAAUAAGUUCAUUGUAUGAAAAGACAGACACAUAAAAAGACACCAAAAAUGACACUGACACGUUAACGUCAAUGAUAAUUUGAGAAAUAAAUUAAUUCAAUGUAAUUACAAUGUGUCUGACAUAAAAUUGAAAUCUUAUACAGGUAUGUUCUUGUAAACUUUCCUAUAUGACUCAUUAUAUUGAUUGAAUAUGUUUGUUGGUAUUUGGUUUAACCAAUCAAUGUGGCAUUAACAAUUCAACUGUUACUUGUUACUUAGAUGUCGUUUGAGAUUUAUUUGGGAAUUGAUAAAAUAGAAAAGUUGAGAAAAACUUUAUAUUGUGAUCCUAAAAUCACUAAUAUAACCAAAUUGAAUCUAACCAUAUCUAACUAUCUUCCAAAAUAUUAAACUAAUUUUAACAAAUCUGAAACUACAUCUAACACAUACUUGCAUGGAAUUGCAACCAUUCAGUAGAAAGAUAUUAUCAAACAAAAUCUUCAUAUGCUUGUGGACCAACUCUAUACGUUUCAGUUUCAAAAUUGAACUAGAAGGCACUUCUAUUCAAGUAAGUAUAAGAUAGUUCUGACAUCAAAGAUUUUUGUUGUACAAAGAAAAUAAUUAUGUCCACUUAUUUAUUUUAUAAUAGUCUAUUGGCUAUUAUUUUCCAUGCUUGAAUCAGUCAGACAUUAGACAUCACAAAAAAAAUAUUAGUCCCUUUCAACAAGGGCUCAUGAUUAUCUCCAAAAGUUACAAUUGCAUAAAAGUCAAAUUCACUUUUAUUGUGCAGAAUAGUGACUAGUGGAUAUGUUGUCUUCAUUAUCAAUGGUACCUUCCAUAAGGGCUUUGUGUCCUCUAAUUUUUUUACUAGUCUUUAUUUAUGCAUGUAUUAUAAUCCUUUAUCAUGUCUAUGAGAUAUGGGCUCAAUGGUAAAAAUUUCAGCCAGUAAUCUCAAAGGACAAAGUUCAAACUCCCUUGAUAACAGUGGUAAAAUGGUCAUUGUUGUAACUUUAAUUAAUAAUUCUUAUUUUCACUAAUAAGAAUGUUAAAAUAUGUCUUGAAAUCUCAUGUUAAAAGUUUUUUUUCUUUUCGGUUUGAUUAUUGUCCCCAUGCGCUGGGCGAAGCUGUUUGCUGUUUUCAUCAUGUUGCUAUUUUGUUGCUUGGAUGAGGCGAUAUAGCUAAAUGAGUCAUAGGUGUGCGUCAAGAUCUAUAGAUAAGCAAUUUUUGCAUCAGUUUUCAGGGUGAAAAUGUGUGAAUUUUAGGGUUACAAAAGAGGGAAUUUUUAGGGUUAAAAGUUGAGAGCUUUUGGAAAAAUUAUAGGAUUAGGAAACAUUUUUGUACAUCUUGGAAAUAAAGCAUCGAGUCUUUUGUCCAUCGGAAGAGAAUUGGGAAAAUUGUAACCCUUGUAUUUCUUUGUAAGAAACUCUUUGUUAGUGGUAAGCCAGAUUUGGGUCGAACUGGAUAACUUUGUUUUGGUUGUUGCUAAUAUUUCUCCACACUUCAAAGUAUUGAUGUGAGUUUUUACAAAUUCACAACAACUGGAACCCACCGUGGGAGAAAUAAGAGGUAACUUUUUCAAGUGUGCAACAUGGGUACCAACUGGGAUAUCAAUAAAUUUAUCGGAGACAACGAUUUGGGGCUGUGAAAAGUGAAGAUGAAAGAUGUGUUGAUUCAACAAAAGUUUGCAGAAGCACUGAAGGAUGAGGUUGCUCUCCCAGCUACCAUGUUACAAGCAAACAAGACCGAGAUGGUGGACAAGGCCAUGAGUGUCAUUGUCUUGUGCCACACUGAUAAAGGUUUUAGAGAAAUCGUAAAGGAGCAAUUGACGAGUCCUACAAAAUCCUUGAUGAUUUGACAACUAUUAAAGUGGAUAUUGAGGAUGAAGACACGGAUAUACUCUUAUUAUUAUGAGCAUUAGCUAGAUCCUUUGAGAACUUCAAGGAUACUAUGCUUUAUGGUAAAGAAGUCAUUGUCACUUCGAGGAAGUCCAAGAGGCACAUAACCAAGUCCAAGAACUUGAAAGUUGAUGAUAGUGGUGAAGACAUGAGUGUCUAAAGAGGAAGACGUAUAAGUUGAUGAAAUCGAGGAAGCUCAAUUGAUGGUGCAAGUUGAAGUACAAAUACUCCAAGUGUCAAACGACCGGUCACUUCAAUAAGGACAUUCCCAAGUUAGAGGACAUUAAUGAUUCCGCACAAUUUGCAUUUGCAACAUCAGUGAAUGUUUUUGAAUGUUCACGGAAAGAACCUUUAAUUUCAAAUCAAUCUAUGCAACAAGAAGCUGAUAGUGUAGUGCAGAGAAGUAUGCUUUUGAAGUAUGAUUUCCAAGACAUCCUUAAUCACUUUGUCCAAGUUCAUGUAUGAAGAAUCACCAGGUCUUGUGUCCUUCUCUGCCUUCUUCUUCUUCAACUCCACGGCCUUUUGCCUCAUCUUUUUUCCUUUCUGUCCCACCAUUAAUUCAUUCAUCAGCUUCUCCACCUCCUCUCUCUUCACAUUUGUAUCAAUUUCGAUUCCGAUCUCCAACUUAUUACAAAUAUAUCUGCAGUAUGUUGGCUGCUCAGAAAAAAAAGGCCAACAUAACAUUGGUACUCUGGCACAAAUGCUUUCCAAUGUGGAGUUCCAUCCACAAUGAGUCAAGAAUCGUCCAACUGAAGGGUGGUUCAACACUUGCUCUUGCGGACACCAGCUUGCUAUUUGGCCUCUAUCCGAAGUUCCAUUCACAAACUCGGAUGACAAAAUAACUGAGCCACCAAUGACAAGCUAAGGCCUAAUGAUCCACAAAAAAGGUUUCUUGCUGUUGGCAAAACCUCAAGAGAACUCUAACUGCUCUGGAGUCAUAACCAUAGUGCUUCCAAAAUUCACAUAAACUACAGAACCUUGUUCCUUAGAUUCAAGACAUUUCAUAUCUUCUUUCCAAAGAUUGGAACCUAAAGAAGCCAAGUGCUUUUGGGGAUUUUGAUUCAAAAACGAAGAUAAAGGGCCAAUGGCGUAAAUAGAAGGGAUCUUAAUAGAUAGAGCCUUUACUACAUCACUCUCAAGUUCAUUAUAAGUAUUGAAAACAAUAGCGUUAGCUUCAUGAACCAUAUCGUCCGCUUCAAUGAUAAAAUUUAUCAUUAGGAUCAGUAGUUCUUAUAAAAUCAAGCAGGUCCUUUAGUCUAAUGUUUCGCAAACCUGGAAUCCAGUCAACUUUAGUGACCAAAUAUCCAUUUGUCAGAUAACUCAUCUGCAUAUUAUAAUCACAAAAUCCAUUAGCUUAAAGUUAAAACUCUGAACCCCUAAUAUAUAUCAUAUUAAUUCUAAUACUACAUUCUAUGUUGUAUACAUACUCUCAGUUUCUCCAAAGGAAGAACUUCCAUAGUAAAACUAAACUAUAGUAAUGAAACUCUUCACUUCUGCAUAAUAGUCCUACACUAUCGAUAAAGAAAGAACAUAAAUGAUUACCUUUGAGGGGUAUGACACCUUUAUCAAUAAAUGUACGAAAGAGCAAAGCACACAAAAGUGAGGAUGCACUAGCAGGAAUAAUUCAAUAUCAGAAACUAAGCAACUAACAGGAGGAAUAAGAUCAUCAUUGGAAGAAUCUUUUAAGUUUAGCAAGAAGUUCACAAAAAGGGUGAUAGAAAUUCUUUCUUAUUGAAUCAUCAAGAGAGACAAUUUCUUGACUAAUAUCACCAUAACCUUCUGUCGGAGUUAAACCAUCUGGAAUAGUCUCAAAGGUAAAAUCAGUGAAACCAUCAAAGGCUUUUGGACCUCUUGAUUUGAGCAAAUGUUUGUGAUUUCGGUGUUGACAAAGGUUAUGUGAAAGCCUCUAAGGUGAAGAAGUUUUGCUAGUUUCAAUAAUGGAUUGAUAUGGCCUUGAAGUGGAUAUGGAGUUAUGCUUACUGAUAUGAGUGAGAAGCAUAAGAAAAUCAUAAAUAUAUUUGACUUUAAUAGGUCCCCCAAAUCAUUGGAAUAUAAAAGUUAGGUGCACAAUUUUUCAUCAAGAAUUUGUUUGCAGCACGCAUUGGAAGUUUGUUUAUUUUUAUUCUCAUUAAGAAUUUGUUGGCACUGCACAUGCAUAUACAAUUGUUUCUUGGUUGAAAAAUAAUAUAUUUUUCAUGGUUUAUACUAUUUCAAUUCUUUUCUUGUUGAUAGUUGAAAUGGCAAGAAUCGUUGAAAACUCGCACACAUAAGUGGAGAAGUUUGGAUUCGAAACCCCAGUUACGGAGUUGGCCUAACAAUUUUGUUCUUUAUUGUCUAUUAAGCUAGAACUUGUCGACAUUUAUUUCCUGUUUUUUAUCAGACCAUACAUGUGAAUUUGAAUUGCAUGCAAGCACAAUUUCCACGCGAUCAGAAUUAAUUCAAUCAACAGCUCGGAGUCAUUUCAUCAAAUAUUCGACGUCUCUUAUUGUAGGAUAUGUGAAUCCAUUUUAAAAGCAAACUUAAAAUUGGAGUCGUCCAAUGUUAAUCUAAUAUCUCCGAGCUGCGCUGGCUGAACAAGUGCCUAAAAUUGUGAUUGUAGACAAAGGUUGCUAGUAAAAAUACUUCCUUAUCUUAGUUUUAAACGAUUCAUUAUAUUGCAUCUAAAUAGAAAAUAGAGAAAAACAUAAAAUUUAUAGUUCUGUUAUUGAUGAAAUGAUUUCCUAAAAGAAAAAAGCUUUGAAACUAUAACCUCUACGUACCGAGAAAUAGAAUGCUCAUAUACAUAUUCCCACCAAUAUUUUUCACUUCAAAUGAAUGUAACUAAAUGUAUCGGGGUCGUUUAGGUGUCAAAUAUCAACAUGUGAAGUGUCAAUGCUACACACUUUAAAACCUUCAACCUAAGUAAGCUUACCAUGUCUAUUUUAUUUUAAAACUGAUUUCUAUUUUAGAGUAAAAUAUUUACUUAUGACUUGUAUUUAAUUAGUUAAUCCUGAUAAAACUAUAAAUCUUGUAUAGAACGAUAGAACGAUAUUAAUUUAAACCUGUACACACAGAAAAAUGAUUGGUUUGCCUUAAUUUAUCCUAUACAUGAUAAUGGAAUUCAACAUAGUGUGCAAAAGCCUUACCUACCCCAUAUAAUUAUCCAAUUCAAUACAUUUAAUAUUAGCAAGAAGCACUAUUUUAGUUUAAGAAUUCUUGCACAAGAUAUGUUCGAUACAGUCAUCAUGAACUCAUUACUUAUUCACUACAAUAGCCUCAUCCCUUAAAUUCAAUAGCAGAAGAUCAAUGGAUCAAUAUAAUACUACAUUGCAUUAAAAACGUCACUUAGGUGUGAUUUUAUUUAAGCAAAACCUCCUUAAUCACUUUUUCCAAGUUCAUGUAUGAACAACCACCAGGUCUCGUGUCCUCCUCCGCCUUCUUCUUCAUCUCCAUUAUAUUUUUCCUCAUCUUCUUUCCUUUAUCUCCCACCAUCAAUUCAUUGACCAAAUUCUCCACCUCAUUUCUCUUCACAUUAGUAUCGAUUUCGAUUCCAAUCUCCCAUGUAUUGCAGAUAUAUCUACAGUUUGCUGGCUGAUCAGCAAAAAAUGGCUAACACAACAUUGGAACUCCAGUAGAUAUGCUUUCGGUCGUUGAGUUCCAUCCACAGUGAGUCAAGAAACCACCAAUUGAAGGAUGGUUCAAUACUUUCUCUUGCGAGCACCAACCAGCAAUUAGGCCUCUAUCUGAAAUUUCAUUCACAAACUCCGAUGACAAAACAACUGAGCCACCAAUGACAAGAUCGGGCCUAAUGAUCCACAAAAAGAGUUGCUUGCUAUUUGCUAAACCCCAUGCAAACUCUAACAGUUUUUCUGAAGUCAUAACUGUCCUGCUCCCAAAAUUCACAUAAACAACGGACCUCGGUUCCUUUGAUUCAAGCCAAUCAAGACACUUGUUAUCUUCUUUCCAAAGAUUGGUACUUAAACUUGCCAAGUGAUUCUGUGGACUUUGACUUAAAAGUGAAGAUAAAGGGCCAAUAGCAUAAACAUUAGGGAACGUCGAAGAGAUAACUUUCAUUACAUCCUUCUCAAGUUCAUUAGAAGUAUUAAAAAUAAAAGCAGAGGCUCUGUGAGCCCUUCCUGCUGCUUCAAUGAUAAAUUCUACCAUCGAAUCAUUUGGAUCAGUAAUCUGUAUAAAGGCAGGCAAAUCCCUCAGUCGAAAGUUCUUCAGUCCUGGCAUACAGUCCACUUUAGUGUCCAAAUAUCCGUUUGUCAGAUAACUCUCAUCUGCAUAUCAAAUUUACAAAAGUUGUUAGUGUGAAAUUGAAUCUCCAUACUCCAAAUAUAUGUCAUAUGAACACUUUAACUACUCUACACAUAUGAAGAAAGAAAGAAGAUUAAUUGUUACCUUUUAGUGGUAUGAGACCUUUAUCUAGAAAUGUACGUAAAUGAAUACCAGUCAGAAAUGUACAUGCAUUGGAUGGACUAAAGACAACAUUAGGGAUUGAAAGUUCUUCAGCAGCUUGUAUAGUAAAGGACAUGCUAAUAUCAGAAACUAUGCAACUAACUGGACGGACAAGACCAGAUGUUGCAGAGUCAUUAAGUCUAGCAAGAAGUUCGCGGAAAGGUUGUAGAAAAUUCUUCCUGAUUGAUUUACAAAGAGCGUAAAUGUCUUGACUAACAUCGCCAUCGCCAUCCGUUGGAGAUAAACCAUCUGGAAUACUCUCAAAGUUAAAAUUGGUGAAACCAUCAAAGGCAUUUUGACCUCUUGACUUGAGCAACCGUUUGUGAUUGUAUUCAGUGUUUACAUAGGUUAUGUGAAAACCUCUAAGGUGAAGAAAUUUUGCUAGUUGCAACAAUGGAUUGAUAUGGCCUUGAACUGGAUAUGGGAUUAACACAGCAUGUGGUUUUUUAUCACUCAUUAUUGAGUUUUUGUGUUUGAAUGUUGAGCUAAGGAAACCAAUGUUUUAAUAAAGAUAAAUCCAAUGUUUCUUGGAUUUGUGGAAAAGAAGAUAGAGACAAAAGACAAGGAAAGCAAAAUCAAAUUUAAAGGGUGAGAUCUUUUUCUUAUAAUAUGAAAUAAUUCUAAGUGACACAAUAAUUGAUGCAUACUAGUCAAGUCACCACUUUUUGUUACGUGAGAGAAGGAAAACAAUUUUUCAUUAAAAAGUUUAUAGCACAAACUUAAGAAUGCCUUUAGUAUGCGGUGGUCAGAAUUGAUUUAAAUAAAUUUGUUUGUUAAAAUUAGUUUUUGUUAAAAAGGGCGUUGGAUAUAAAAUUAUUUAUACUUAUAUAUAUUUACGUAAAUUUGAGUUGAGCAAAAAAUUAAAGACUUAAAAUCAAAGACUAAAAAUUGAAGACUUAUCUAACUUAAAUACUAUUAGUUAGACAUCGUUUGGGAUUUAUUUUGGAAUUGAUAGAAUAAUAAAGUUGAGAAACACUGUAUAUUGUGAUCCUAAGAUCACUAAUAUAACCAACCUUGCAUCUAAUCAUAACUAACUUUUUUUUAUAAGCAAUAAUCAUAACUAACUUAUAACUAUCUUAAACAAUACUAAACUAAUUUCAACAAAUAUGAAACUAUAUCUAACACAUACUUGCAUGGAAUUGCAACCAUUCAGUAGAAAGAUAUUAUCAAACAAAAUCUUCAUAUGCUUGUGGACCAACUCUAUACGUUUCAGUUUCAAAAUUGAACUAGAAGACACUUCUAUUCAAGUAUAAGAUAUAUAGUUCUGACAUCAAAGAUUUUUGUUGUACAAAGAAAAUAAUUAUGACCACUUAUUUAUUUUAUAAUAGUCUAUUGGCUAUUAUUUUCCAUGCUUGAAUCAGUCAGACAUUGGACAUCACAAAAAUAUUUGUCCCUUUCAACAAGAGCUCAAGAUUAUCUACAAAGUCUCAAUUCCAUAAAAGCCAAAUUCAUUUUUAUAUGUUGUCCCUUUACACAUGAAUUAUAAUCCUUUAUCACGCUACAACGUAUCAGCUCAAUGGUAAGAGUUUGAGCUUGUAAUCUCAAAGGACAAAGUUUAAAUUCCCUUAAUAACAAUGGUAAAAUGCUCAUUGUUGUAACUUUAAUUAAUAAACACUUAUUUUGACUAAUAGGAAUGUUAAAAUAUGUCUUGAAAUCUCAUGUUGAAAGUUUUUUUACUUUACUAUUGCCCCCAUGCGCUAGGCGCAGUUGUUUGUUGUUUUUAGCAUGUUUCUAUUUUGUAGCUUGCAUGAGGCGAAGGGUAUAGCUGAUUUAGCAGGUGUGCGUCAUGAUCUAUAUUAGUUAGGGGACAUUGAUGAUUCCACACAAUUGGCAUUUGCAAACAUCAAUGAAUGUUUUUGAAUGUUUAAAUAAGAAAGAACCUUUGAAUUCAAAUGCUUUCAAAUCAAUCUAUGCAACCAGAAGCUGACAAUGUAGUGCAGAGAAAUUUUAUAAAAGAUCAAAAGAAGAAUAUAAAUAUAAUAUUAAUAUGAUUUUCAACUAUUGUCUUACUUUGAUUCAGGUGAAUUCAAUCAAUCAAAAUUUGAAGGGGAAAAAUAAAGGUAUGUGAUCUUUAUUUAUGAAGAAUGAACUUGAUGAACAAGAAUGCAUCAUUACAAUGUUUCUGACUAAAUUGUUGAUGUUCAUACUUAAGAACAUAGGAAGACCUAAAAUAUGAAUUAUUUGUUCCUAACAAAACUAUAUAUAUUGUAUAAAAGUGACUUAAGCUUGAUUUUGUUUAAGCAACACCUCCUUAAUCACUUUCUCCAAGUUUGUGUAUGAACAACCUCCAGGUCUCGUGUCCACCUCCACCUUCUUCUUCAGCUCAAUGGCUUUUUGCCUCAUCUUCUUUCCUUUAUCUCCGGACAUCAAUUCAUUGACCAGUUUCUCCACCUCCUCCCUCUUUACAUUAGUAUCGAUUUCCUUUCCAAUCUCCCAUUCAUUGCAAAUAUAUCUGCAGUUUGCUGGCUGAUCCGAAAAAAAUGGCCAACAUAACAUUGGAACUCCAGCACAUAUGCUUUCAGUGGUUGAGUUCCAUCCGCAAUGAGUCAAGAAUCCACCGACUGAAAGGUGGUUCAAUACUUUCUCUUGUGGACACCAACUUGCUAUUAGUCCUCUAUCUGAAAUUUCUUUCAAAAAAUCAGAUGAGAAAACCACCGAGCCACCAAUGACAAGAUCAGGCCUAAUGAUCCACAAAAAGGGUUUUUUGCUGUUGGCCAAACCCCAAGCAAACUCUACGAGCUUCUCUCGAGACAUAACAGUGAUGCUGCCAAAAUUUACAUAAACAACAGAUCUUGGUUCUUUUGAUUCAAUCCAUUCAAGACAUUUAGUAUCUUCUUUCCAAAGAUUAGAGUCUAAAGAUGUCAAGUCAUUUUGUGGACUUUGAUUUACAAAAGAAGCUAAUGGACCAAUUGUGUAUAGAGAAGGGAACAUAGAAUAGAAAGCAUUCAUAACAUCACUCUCAAGUUCAUUAGAAGUAUUGAAUACCAUACCAGAAGCUCUAUGACAUUUAUCUGCCACUUCAGUAUUAAAUCUUAUCGUCAAGUCAUUAGGAUUUUUUGUCUUUAUUAACCUAGGAAGAUCCUUCAAUCUGAAGUUUUUCAAACCUGGGAUCCAGUCAAUUUUUGUGUCCAAAUAUUCAUUUGUUAGAUCACUCUCAUCUGCAUGUCAUAAUUGCAAAAAUCAAUAGCAAGUCAUAUGUAUAAAUAUAUAUAUCAAGGUUUAAAAUCACAUUUGCAAUAAUAAUUUUGGUUGUGUUAUCCUACUGAUAUUGCAUAUAAUCCCAAUCAAAUGUGGUUGAUGCAACCUCAAUUGCGAUUAUAGAGAUAUCGCAACCUUGAUGUUCGGCCCAUAUUGUGACCGCAAACCUUUUUUAAAAACCAUAACAUACACACACAGAUCUCUUAAGAAGAAAAAGGGAACAAAAAUGAUUACCUUUGAAUGGUACUUGACUAUUCAGAUACAUUUUAGGACUGAGCAAACAAGACAAGAAAUAACAUGCACUACAUGGGGAAAAAAGAACAAUUGGGAGGGCAUGUUCUUCAGCAGCAUCUACUGUAAAUGGCAUGUAGCAAUCAGAAACUAAGCAAGUGACUGGGGGGAUAAGACCAGCAGUGGCAGAGUCUUGAAGUUUAGCAAGAAGUUCAUCAAAGAAGUGGCGAAAGUUCGUUAUGAUUGAUUCACCAAGAGAGUGUAGGUCUUGACUUACAUCACCAUUACCAUCCUUUGGAGUUAAACCAUCUGGUAUAGUCUCAAAGUUAAAGUCAGUGAAACCAUCAAAGGCAUUUUCACCUCUUGAUUUGAGCAAACGUUUGUGAUUGUAUUCAGUGUUAACAAAGGUUAUGUGAAAGCCUCUAAGGUGAAGCAGUUUUGCUAUUUUCAACAAUGCAUUGAUAUGGCCUUGAACUGGAAAUGGAGUUAACACUGCAUGUGGCUUUUUCUCUUCAAAGUUACUCAUGAUUGAUAUUUUUCUUAUGUAAGAAAACUAAGAAAAAACUGAGGUGAAAAAUCUAUGAGGCCUCUAUAUAUAACAAUGAGUGAAUUUUGUUACGUAUCUAUUAUCUAUUGUAUAAUAUAAAAAAAUUCUUAAGAAUGGAAAAAACCAUUUUUCUUUUUGAAUAAUUCAAUUACUGUCUAAUUCAUUUUUAUCUAAUUUUUAGUAAAUUGAAAAUCGGAUUUUCUAAUUAAGAUAAUCCAUAUUUGAUAAUUUUUUCUAUACAUCAAACUUUCUUUAUAAACUCUUCCCCUUAAAUAUAUUAAGAGAAGGCCAUAUUUGACAAUAUAUCUUCUAAACCAAUAAAAAUCAAAUUGCAAAUUCUAUGGUACAGCCAAUAUAUUUGAAUGUACCGGUACACUUACUCUUUAAAUUAAUGGUUAAAUGAGUUGUUUUUUGAAGAAAAAUAUUAUUUUCUAUCCUUUAUAUUUAUAAUAACUAAAUCUUAUUCAUCAAAAGUGUUAACGAAAUAAAAUUAAUUUUUUUUGAAUUUUUAGCACUCAUAGUUGAGAAUAUUGAUUAUAUUUUACGAUAAUAUGCAAAAAAAUUACUAUAAUUCUUAUAAAUAAUGAACUGAUGUUUUUUCUUAUGAAAUGAUGUUCUAUAAAAUAUAAAUAUUGAUAAAUAGUUAUUUAUUUCACAAAAAAUAAUCGUUAAUUUAUAAAAUUAUGAAAAAAGAGUACCGGUACACCUCAUUUUGUGAGUCUACAAUAGAAGUUCCCCAAAUCAAAUACAGUCAAAAUAUACUUUAAGUAAAAAAAAUAAAAAUCAAAUAUACUUAAUACAAUAAAAAUCCAAUUUGGACUUGACAAAGAAAAAAAUCCAACAUGUGCAACAAAUUGACGUGGUGAACGAAAGCAACGUCUGCAUGUUGAAAGGAGACCACUUUCUGUGGUGGGGACUGAUUUUAUAUACAGACAAUGGUGUUCAGACGGGAACAGACUUGCCAGUCUAUUCUUUUAAUAGUGUUAAUUAAGGGUGUUUUGGUGCAUUUUUAAUCGAUUUUGAGGUUAAAAGUUAUCCAAAUCGUAAAAUAAAAGAGCAUCAUGUUUGAUUUAAUUGACUUUUAAAAUAAAACUUGAACCAAAUCAAUAUGGGUUGAAUUAUAUUGGUUCGUGUGGUUUUUUCGAGACUAUAAUUUUUUAUUUUUAACAUUAAAAUCGAGUUAAAAACUUAUAACACAACAUAUUUCCAAUAAUGUUUCCGACAAUGUUUUCAAUUUCAUCCAACAUGACAAUUUUAUUUUCACCAAAUAAUAAUAUAGACGAAAUUUAAAAUGUGGACAAAAAGUAAUCCUAUUAAAGAAAUGUAAAAUACUAAGAUUUAUCAUUCUAUAAAAUUUUAUUUUAUAAAAGUUUCCAUUUUUGAAAUAAAAAGUAAAGAAGAAAAUUAACAAGAGAAAAUAAUAUGUCGUUUUAUAAAAGUUUUCAUUGAAUUUCUAUGAGUAUUGGUCUACCUGAAUUAGGUUUAAUUAGCGUUUUUCUUAUGUUGCGGUUUAGUUUGGUUAAUAAAAUAAAAACUGCAAACCGAACCAAACCUUGCGGUUAAGUAAAAAAGUGAUCCGAAUUCAUCCAAACCAAAUGCAUUUUUUGCGGUUUUAGUUUGAGUUGGUUCGGUUUGCAGUUUUUCUACUGGAUUGGUCAGUUUUGAACACCACUAUUUUUUUUGUCUAGUAGCCUAGUGUCUGGAGCUCACACAAUUAAAUUUGAAGAAGUGGGGUAUCUGGGGUUCAAACCCCGACCCUGUAUAAAUUGUGCAAUGUUCUUAUCAAUUGAGCUAAGCUCACGGGGACGUUUCGAACACCUCUAGUGCUAAUGCAUAUAAAUUAUGAAUAUUUAGUAGUUUUUAUGAAAUUUUAAUUUUGAUUAAAAUUAUAGAUAUAGAUAUUUUGUUCUUUAUAUUCUAACAAAUUAUACUUAUUUUUUUUAAAUAACACUAACAAUAUAGCAAAUAUAAUAUAAAUUCUUAUCUUUUUAUUUAUAUUUUUAUUUUUAUAAGCCUUAUUUCAUAAGCCGUUUUCAGCAAAUUUUCAAAAAUGUUUUCAAAAUCAUUUAUGAAAACAUCUUAUAUAUGAAAACAAUUUAACAUAAAUUUAUCUUUUGCUGUAGAAAUAGUUUAUGCAUAAGUGCUCAUCAUAAUUAAUAAGAACUUGCGCUAUAAAUUAUUUAUCCAAACAUGGCCUCUAUUCAUUACUAUUCAACUUAUGAAGCGUGUAAGAAUUAUACUCCCCGAUGUCCAAAAAGGAACUGAAAGGUGAGCAUUUCUUAAUUCAUUGAUUUAGAAUUAUUAAGUUAUGUUUACAAUUUUUCAUGGUUCAUAUUUUUUUUCAGUUUUCAGUAGGACGCCUAUCUUACUUUUUAAUGAUUUAUUCUAUUGAAUUUAUAGAGAAAAGGAGGGAAACUGAAAAGUUAUAAAUCUGUUAUUGAUCAAAUGACUCCCUAAAACUAGUUCUGCAGUAUACCAAUCUUAUAUAUCAUUAAAAGCUUACUAGGGUUUUUUAUACAAGAAAAUGUUAAUGCUUAGUAUAUUAUGUAAGUAACCUGAAUUGGAAUCUUAGACCUCAUGUUAAGCAGUGGUUUAGAGUUUUUUUUUAUAUAAGAAAAUGUUAAUUGUAGUGAGUUAUGUUAGUAACCAGACUUGUUAGUUAUUGAUUUGAAUUCUGUUACAACUCAGACACUUAAGCUACCCCUUGAGGAUAAAAUUAUGCAAGAGUUACUUACAACAAAUAACUGUAGUAACCAUCGAUUUCAGAACUGGAUCCGCUGAUUGAACCAGGAAUCGGCCAGUCUAUACCGGUUGUUCAACCAUGGUCGGUUAUAAGUCUGUCAGAACCUCAUUCAACCAUGGUUUAUUCAACCGAAUCAUUGUUUUUUCGAAUGUUCAUACAUAUUUCGGGAAAUAUUCUUUAAUUCCUGGAUAUGAAAGACAACCAAAAUCUCAUAUUAGUUUUAUUCAUGGUCCUAUGUUAAAACCUGUUCUAUAAAGUAGCUGAUCUUAUGUACGCCUGAUAUAUUUGAAGUUUGAUCCUUCUGUUUGCAUAGGCUGUUCUUUGAUGAUAUUGAAAAUGAAUAGUAUAAUUGCAUAGUAGUACUCAACAUAAGUGAAUGUCUUUUAUUGUUAUAGGAUAGAACCUUUCAAAUCAAUCUCCGAAGCAAGAAGCUUACAAGCAAUGAGAAGUUUAUGAAUAUAAUAUUAAUGUGAUCUUUAGUUACGAAGAAUGAACUUGAUGAAGUUGAAUGCAUUGUUACGAUGUUCCUGACUAAAAUGUUGAUAUCCACACUUAAGAACAUAGGUAGACAUAAAAUGCAAAUUAUUUGGUCCGAACAAAACUAUAAAAAUCGUACAAAAGUCACUUAAGUUCGAUUUUGUUUGAGUAACACCUCCUUAAUCACUUUCUCCAAGUUCAUGUAUGAACAGCCUCCAGGUCUCGUGUCCUCCUCCACCUUCUUCUUCAACUCAAUUGCCUUUUGCCUCAUCUUCUUUGCUUUCUCUCCCACCAUCAAUUCAUUAACCAGCUUCUCCACCUCCUCUCUCUUCACAUUAGUGUCGAUUUCAAUUCCAAUUUUCCAUGUAUUGCAUAAAUAUCUGCAGCUUACUGGGUGAUCAGCGAAAAAUGGCCAACACAACAUUGGAACUCCAGCAGAUAUGCUUUCAGUGAUUGAGUUCCAUCCGCAAUGAGUCAAGAAUCCACCAAUUGAAGGGUGGUUCAGUACUUGCUCUUGCGGACACCAGCUCGUUAUUAGGCCUCUAUCUGAAAUUUCAUUCACAAACUCCGAUGACAAAACAGCUGAGCCGCCGAUGACAAGAUCGGGCCUAAUGAUCCACAAAAAGGGUUGCUUGCUAUUUGCUAAACCCCAUGCAAACUCUAACAGUUUUUCUGCAGUCAUAACUGUCAAGCUCCCAAAAUUCACAUAAACAACAGACCUAGGUUCCUUGGAUUCAAGCCAAUAAAGACACUUGGUAUCUUCUUUCCAAAAAUUGGUGCUUAAAGAUGUCAAAUGGUUUUCUGGACUUUGAUUUAAAAACGAAGAUAAAGGGCCAAUAGCAUGAAUACAAGGGAACACAGUGGAGAGAGCAUUCAUUACAUCCUUCUCAAGUUCAUUAGAAGUGUUUAAAAUAUAAGCAGAGGGUCGGUGAGCCCUUCCAGACGCUUCAAGGAUAAAUUCUACCAUGGAAUCAUUUGGAUAUUUUGCUCUUACAAAGUCCGGAAGAUCCUUGAUUCGGAAGUUUUUCAUGUUGGAAAUUUAGGUCUUAAUAUAAACAGAUUUCAUAAUACAUGUUCAACAACUAUGAAUCAAUAGCGGAAGCAAACAAAACAUUGAACAUGAUUAUGAUCGGAUCUACGACAUGUUUGAUUUACCAAGGAUAUUAAGAAUUAGGGUAUUAGGAAUACCUGGAUAAAGCUUUUGUAACAACCCUCUCAUCAACAACGAUAACCAAAGAGAGGAGAUGAUCUGAAACACGCAAUAGAGUUAGCGGCGGCUGAUUUGGUUCUUCCUCAACCGGUACCUUUAUGCCUCAAGUUCUCUUCAGAUGGGGAGAAGAGAGAGUAUUGCCGUGUACGGUGUAUUGGGGACCAUAGCCUCUUUUAUAUUGGAUGGCCAUUAGGGUUUCCCAUUAUUCCAUUAAUGGGUCAUCCGGACAUCCACUCAUGUUGAGUCCAUAUCAACUAAUUAAAUAAUUAAUUAUCCAAAAUAGAAAUCUAAUUAGCCUUAUUACUUAAUUUGAUCACUAAUCAAUUAAGGCUCACAAUUGAUAAAUAGCUAAUAUAAUUAUUAUUACGAUAUUUGCCCACAUAAUGAUAUUGGAAUAUUAUUAAUUAAUAAAAUAUUCCAACAUUUCAGUCCUGGAAUACAAUCUACUUUAGUGUCCAAAUAUCCGUUUGUGAGAUAACUGUCAUCUGUACAUCAAAUUACAAAAUCUGUUAACUUGAAAUGUCAUAUUAAUACUUUAACUACACUACAUCUAUGAAGAAAGAAAGAAGAUUAAUUGAUUGUUACCUUUUAGUGGUAUGACACCUUUGUCAAACAGUGUAGGUAAGUGAAAACAAGUCAAAAACAUACAUGCACUGGCUGGACUAAAGAAAACAACAGGGAUUGAAAGUUCUUCAGCAGCUUGUAUUGUAAAAUACAUGCUAUUAUCAGAAACUAUGCAAGUAACUGGAGGGACAAGACCAGAAGUGGCAGAGUCAUUAAGUCUAGCAAGAAGUUCACAAAAAGGUUGUAGGAAGUUCUUUCUGAUUGAUUCACAUAGAGCAUAUAUGUCUUGAUUAACAUCACUAUCGCCUUCUAUCGGAGUUAAACCAUCUGGAAUAGUCUCAAAGGUAAAAUCGGUGAAACCAUCAAACGCUUUUGGACCUCUUGAUUUGAGCAAGCGUUUGUGAUUGUAUUCGGUGUUGACAAAGGUUAUGUGAAAGCCUCUAAGGUGAAGAAGCUUUGCUAGUGUUAUUAAUGGAGUGAUAUGUCCUUGAAGUGGAUAUGGAAUCAACACUGCAUGUGGCUUUUUAUCAGAAAAAUGACUCAUUUCUGAGUUUUCUUGUAUUAUAGUAUGUGUAUGACUUGAGGUUUAGAGAUAAAGGGAUUAGCCAGUGCCAACAAUACACCUACCUAACAACUCUAAUCAUAAUGCCAAAAAACAUGUCAUGUGACAGCGUUUAAAUUAGUCUGUAGCUGAAUAAAAAUUUGGUGAUGAAUAAUGGCAAUCAUUAGGCUGUGACCAAUAAUGUUGGAGGACUUAAUGAUAAGUAAUCUAAGUCAAAUAAUUGCAUGGUUUUGUAACCAAUAUAUGUGAACAAUAAAAGAUAUUUAAACUGUCUCAUUAUUGUAAGGGAAAUAUAUUACAGACUCUAAUUUGAACUACACAAUAUUCUAUCCGUCGCAUAAAAAGUGUUUUAUUUAGAAUGUGUACGAUUCUUAUGAAAAUAAUUAGCUGUGUUGAUUUUAAUGGUAAAAUUAAUAUCAUUUACUAAAAUAUUCAUAUUAAUUUAUAUCAUUUACUACUAAGACUUUGUUUGCGAGUUGGAUUUUGGAGGGGAGGGGAAGGGAAGGAAAGGCUCAUGGCUCAUGGAGUGGUAAAUCCUUGUUUGCGAGUUUUAAAAAAACAAGGGAAAGGUUUUGGGGGGUUUUGAAGGGCUUUAUUUGUCCAAUUUUAAAGUUCCCCCAAAUUGGGGGGUUUUGGGGGGUUAAACAUACAAAUUGACAAUUUUGCCCUCUUAAUAAUUCAAAAUUCUAAUUUUAGACAUUACUAAAAUUAUUACAAUCUUUUUUAAAAACAACUUAUUCAAAACAACUUAUUUAUACAAAACAGCUUAUUACGACCUCAUUUUCAAAAACGGCUUAUUCAAAACAGCUUAUUACGACCUCAUUUUCAAAGACCACUUAUUCAAAACAACUUAUUUAUAAAAAACAGCUUAUUACGACCUCAUUUUCAAAAACCGCUUAUUCAAAACAACUUAUUUAUGCAAAACAGCUUAUUACGACCUCAUUUUCAAAAACAUCUUAUUUAUGCAAAACAGCUUAAUACGACCUCUUUUUCAAAAACAGCUUACUCAAAACAGCUUAUUUAUGCAAAACAGCAUUAUACGAUCUCUUUUUCAAAAACAGCUUAUUACGACCUCAUUUUCAAAAAUCGCUUAUUCAAAACAACUUAUUUAUACAAAACAGCUUAAUAUGACUUCAUUUUAAAAAACAGCUUAUUCAAAACACCUUAUUUAUGCAAAACAGCUUAAUACGAUCUCUUUUUCAAAAAAAAGCUUACUCAAAGCAGCUUAUUUAUACAAAACAGCUUAAUACAAUCUAUUUUUCAAAAACAACUUUUUCAAAACAGCUUAUUUAUCCAAAACAGCUUAUUAUCACCUCUUUUCAAAAAAACAGUUUAUUUGUGCAAAACACCUUAUUUCGACCUCUUUUCAAAAAAUAGCUUAUUCAAAACAACUUAUUUUUACAAAACAGUUUGGAUAAAUAAGUUGUUUUGAAUAAGUUUUUUUUAAAAAAGAGAUCGUAUUAUGCUAUUUUGCAUAAAUAAGUUGUUUUGAAUAAGCUGUUUUUGAAAAAGAGAUCGUAUUAAGUUGUUUGGUAUAAAUAAGCUGUUUUGAAAUAGCUGUUUUUAUAAAAGAGAUUGUAUUAAGCUGUUUCGCAUAAUAAGUUGUUUUGAAUAAGCUGUUUCUGAAAAUGAGGUCAUAUUAAGCUGUUUUGUAUAAAUAAGUUGUUUUGAAUAAGUGAUUUUUGAAAAUGAGGUCAUAAUAAGCUGUUUUAUAUAAAUAAGUUGUUUUGAAUAAGCUGUUUUUGUAAAAGAGAUUGUAUUAAGCUGCUUUGUAUAAUAAGUUGUUUUGAAUAAGCUAUUUUUGAAAAUGAGGUCAUAUUAUGUUGUUUUGUAUAAAUAAGUUGUUUUGAAUAAGCGAUUUUUGAAAAUGAGGUCAUAAUAAGUUGUUUUGUAUAAAUAAGUUGUUUAAAUGAGGUCGUAAUAAGUUGUUUUGUAUAAAUAAGUUGUUUUGAAUAAGCGGUUUUUGAAAAUGAGGUCGUAAUAAGCUGUUUUGUAUAAAUAAGCUAUUUUGAAUAAGCUAUUUUUGAAAAAGAGAUUGUAUUAAGCUGUUUUGCAUAAAUAAGCUGUUUUGAAUAAGUUGUUUUUGAAAAAGAGAUUGUAAUAAGUUGUUUUGUAUAAAUAAGCUGUUUUGAACAAGUUGUUUUUUUGAAAAGAGGUCGUAAUAAGCUGUUUUGUAUACAUAAAUUGUUUUGGAUAAGUUGUUUUUGAAAAGAGAUUGUAUUAAGCUGUUUUGAAUAAGCUGUUUUUCUGAAAAGAGGCCAUAAUAAGUUGUUUUGUAUAAAUAAGCUAUUUUGAAUAAGUUGUUUUUUAAAAAAAGAUCGUAAUAAUUUGUUUUUCAUAAGAUAAGCUAUUUUUUAAAAAGAGGUCGUAAUAAGUUGUUUUGUAUAAGUAAGUUGUUUUUAAAAAGUGAUUGUAAUAAGUUUUUUUUUUUUUUUAUAAAUAAGUUGUUUUUUAAAAAUAGAUUUUAAUAAUUUGUUUUUCAUGCGAUAAGUUGCUUUGAAUAAAUUUGAAGUUAAAUUACGAAGUAUAACAAUGUAUUGAUUUUAAGAGGAAAAAUGGUAAAAUAGUAAAAUUAUACUAUAAGCCCUCCAUCUCCUUUUCUUUAUUGACUUUUUAACUCCCAAACAAGAGGAAGGUUUUCCCUCCUUUCUCCCUUCCCUCCCUUUCCUUCCCUUCCUCUCCUUAGCCUUUCCUUUCCUUCCCCUCAAAACUCGCAAACAAAGCCUAAAAUGUAUUUUGAGAGUUCGCUUCGUAAAAUAUUUUUUGUUUAAUAGUGAGUUGAACAAAAAUUAAUUUAUGUUUAGAUAUAUUUAUUAGCGCAUCUUGCAACGUUUCUCUUUUGUUGUAAUCUAAUUAUGAGUGAUAAGAUAAUUAACUCGAUGAGAGUUAAGAGAAGAAAAUAUAUGUUGCAAUCUGAUCUCAUUAUUAAUGGAAAAAAAUUUACUACAACUUAUUUAUAUGGAAAUUACUUGCUAGUCAAGCAAAACAUACUCAACUUACCUAGCUGUAUUUUGUAGUUCAGAUAUUGAUGAAAAAGCUAAACUAUGGAAAUUACAACAACUUAAAAUUUACUACAACUUAUUUAUAUGGAAAUUACUUGUGAAUUUACAUAAAAUUAAGACUAAAAAUUAAUUAUUCUAUUGCAUCUAGAUAGAAAAUAGAGAGAGAAAAAAAAUUAAAAUUUUAGUUCUGUUAUUGAUCAAAAAGCUAAACUAUAACUAUAUUAACUAUAACAUCUAGAUAAGAGAAAUAGGAUGCUCAUAUACAUAUUCUCACCAAUAUUCUUCACUAGUAGAAUAUGUAAAGAGAACAAAAAUAUCAUAUUAGUUUCAGUCAUGUUCCAGUCACACCAACAUGGACACUAGACAUGACACGACUCGACACUGACAAUGAAAUUUUGAUGCCUGCAAUAAUUUGAGAAAAUAGAAUAAAUGUAUUUAAAUGUGUUGGAGUCGUUUAGGUGUCAAAUAUCAACAUGUUUCGGACACUAAACACUCAUCGAAGUGUCAAUGUUGCACCCUUUAAAACCUUACACCUAAGUAAGCUUACCAUUUCUAUUUUUUUAUAUUAAAACUGAUUCCAAUGUUAAAGUAAAACAUUAACUUAUGGCUUGUAUUUAAUUUAGUUAUUCCUAACAAAACUAUAAAUCUUGUUUAACAUAGAAGGAUAUUAAUUUAAACCUGAACACACAGCAAAGUGAUUGUUUGCUUUAAUUUAUCCUUCAUAUGAUAAUGGAAUUCAAGAUACUGUGGAAAAAGCCUCACUACCCCAACUUCAAAAUUUCAAAGCUGUAAAAUUCAACGAAUAAAAAUUUAAAUACAUAUGCCAUAGAAUUAUCCAAUUCAAUCCAUUAGUUUAAGAAUUCUUGCACAAGAUAUGUUCAAUUCCAUCAUCAUGAACUCUUAAUUUAUUAGCAUCAAUAUAUUUGUUAUACAAUACAAUAGCAUCAUCCCUUAAAUUCAGUAGGAGAAUAUCAAUGGAUCAAUAUAAUACUACAUUGCAUAAAAAAUUCACUUAUAGGUUUGAUUUUAUUUAAGCAAAACCUCCUUAAUCACUUUUUCCAAGUUUAUGUAUGAACAACCUCCAGGUCUCGUGUCCUCCUCCGCCUUCUUCUUCAACUCGAUUGCCUUUUGCCUCAUCUUCUUUCCAUUCUCUCCCACCAUCAAUUCAUUGACCAACUUCUCCACCUCCUCUCUCUUCACAUUGGUGUCAACUUCCAUCCCAAUCUCCCAUUCAUUGCAAAUAAUUCUACAGUUUGUUGGCUGAUCAGCAAUGAAUGGCCAACACAACAUUGGCACUCCAGCACAUAUGCUUUCAGUGGUUGAGUUCCAUCCACAGUGAGUCAAGAAUCCACCAAUUGAAGGGUGGUUCAAUACUUGCUCUUGCGGGCACCAACCCGCGAUUAGGCCUCUAUCUGAAAUUUCAUUCUUAAACUCAGAUGACAAAACCAAGGAACCACCAAUGACAAGAUCAGGUCUAAUGAUCCAUAAAAAAUGUUGCUUGCUAUUGGCCAAACCCCAAGCAAACUCUAAUAGUUUUUCUGUAGUCAUAACUGUUGUGCUCCCAAAAUUCACAUAAACAACGGACCUCGGUUCCUUUGAUUCAAGCCAAUCAAGACACUUGGUAUCCUCUUUCCAAAGAUUUGUACUUAAAGAUGCUAAGUGGUUUUGUGGACUUUGAUUUAAAAAUGAUGAUAAAGGGCCAAUGGCAUAAAUAGAAGGGAACUUAGUGGAGAGAACAUUUAUUACAUCCUUCUCAAGUUCAUCAGAAGUAUUAAAAAUAAAAGCAGAGUCUUUGUGAGCCGUUCCUGCGCCUUCAAUGAUAAAUUCUAUGAUCGAAUCAUUUGGAUCAGUAAUCCUUAUAAAGUCAGGCAAAUCCUUUAGUCGAAAGUUCUCCAAUCCUGGAAUACAGUCCACUUUAGUGUCCAAAUAUCCGUUUGUCAGAUAACUCUUAUCUGCAUAUAUCAAAUUUAUAAAAGUUGUUAGCUUGAAAUUGAAUCUUCAUACUCCAAAUAUAUGUCAUAUGAACACGCUAACUAUUCUACAUAUAUGAAGAAAGAAAGAAGAUUAAUUGUUACCCUUUAGUGGUAUGAGACCUUUAUCCAACAAUGUACUAAAAUGAAUACAAGUCAAAAACAUACAUGCACUGGCUGGAUUAAAGAAAACAAGUGGGAGUGAAAGUUCUUCAGCAGCUUGUAUAGUAAAGGACAUGGUAAUAUCAGAAACUAUACAAGUGACUGGAGGGAUAAGACCAGAUGUUGCAGAGUCAUUAAGUCUAGCAAGAAGUUCGCGGAAAGGUUGUAGGAAGUUCUUUCUGAUUGAUUUACAAAGAGCGUAAAUGUCUUGACUAACAUCACCAUCACCAUCCGUUGGAGUUAAACCAUCUGGAAUAGUCUCAAAGCUAAAAUCAGUUAAAUCAUCAAAGGCAUUUGGAGCUCUUGACUUAAGCAACCGUUUGUGAUUGUAUUCAGUGUUUACAAAGGUUAUGUGAAAUCCUCGAAGGUGAAGAAGUUUAGCUAGUUUCAACAAUGGAUUGAUAUGGCCUUGAACUGGAGAUGGGAUUAACACAGCAUGAGGUUUUGAAUCACUCAUUUCUGAGUUUGUGUUUGAAUUUUGAGCAAAGGGAAGCCAAUGGUUUAAUAGAGAUAAAGUGACCACUUUUUGUUAUAAAAGGAAAUCAAUUUUUCAUUAAAAAGUUUAUAGCACAAACUUAAGUAUGUAUUUGUUUGCGGUGACGAGAAUUGAUUUGAAUGAAUUUGUUUAACAAAAUUAGUGUUUGGUUAAAGUGCGUUGAAUGUGAUAUAUAUUUAUAUAAAUUUACGUAAAAUUGAUUUGAAAAAUAAAUUGAAGACUUAAAUUCGAUUAUAAAAAUAAAAUUUUGAUACCUUAGCUUUAAAUAACGAGCGGCUUAAAGGCAAAAUCAAUUCCAUUUAAGAACACACAACCAUAGGGUCUGACUAGGCUUAUCUAAGUUAAAUACUGUUAGUUAGAUGUCGUUCGAGAUUUAUUUUGGAAUUGAUAGAAUAAAAAAGUUGAGAAACACUUUAUAUUGUGAUCCUAAGAUUACUAAUAUAACCAAAUUCCAUCUAAUCACAAUUUUUUUUUACAAGCAAUAAUCAUAACUAACUUAUAAAUAUCUUUAAAAAUAUUAUAUUAAUUUAUCAAACAAUAUCAUUAUUUGCUAGGGUGGAAAUAAAUGUGGUCAAAUUAAUGUACCUAGCCAGUGUUAAAAGCAAUACACCUACAUUUCAGGUUUUUUCUAGAUUACCCUCUCUUAUUUAGAGGAUAUUUUACCCUCUCAUGAUAUCAACCAAUUAAAAUGUAAUAUAUAUUGGCAACAUUAAAUGUCAUAAAUGAGUCAAUUUUUUUUUCUAAAAAAAGAAUCAAUUAUAAUCAUAAGGUAACUUUUAAUACUUUUAAUUUUUAUUUAAUUAUAGACAUGAUUACAUUAGAGAUCCUUUAUCUUAUUUAUUUGUUACACUUGGGUCCUUUAUCUUUAUUUAUUUUCACUCAGGUCUUUUAUCUCUUAUAAAAGCACAUAUACACCAUUUUUCUCAUUUUUUUUAUUAAAAAAAAUACAUAAUUUUAUUUUUUAAAAUAUCUUUUUAUUAAAAAUGAAACAAAUCCAGAAAUAUGAUGAAGAUGUUCAUCAUCUUCAUCUUCUUCCAUUGAAUAUUCAUCAUCUUCAUUGAAUCAAAAAAAUUUCUACACAAAUAUAUCUCCAAAUAUCAUGAAUUAAUGUUAUAUUCACCUCAAAUCUUCCUUUAAACACAAAAAUCAAACCCCUAUAGAGAAAGAGAUUUAGUUUCAUCACCAAAAAAGAAAAAUUAGUUAUAUAAAUUGUCACGCUGUAUAUUAUUAUUAUUAUUAUUAUUAUUAUUAUUAUUUUCUAACUCAAUAUUCAAGCCCGAUAUAAAAAUAAUCCCAAAAUUGAUAGCAACUUUACACAUCAAUUUUGUUGUUUUCAGAGCAAUCUUAACUUUCGUAAAGCCUAACCCUUCCGUCAGUGACUAAGCCUCCACCAUCCGCCUUGCAACAUUUGUGAAAUUAAGGUUUUGAUUUUUGUGUUUAAAAUAAGAUAUGAGGUGAAUAUAACAUUAAUUCACGAUAUUUGGAGAUAUAUUUUAGUAGAUUUUUUUUUAUUUAAAGAAGAUGAUGAAGAUUCAAAGGAAGAACAUGAAGAUGAUGAACAUCUUCAUCAUAGUUUUGGAUUUUUUUUUUCAGUUUUAAUAAAAAUAUAUUUUUAAAAAUAAAAUUAUGUAUUUUUUAAUAAAAAAAUGCGAAAAAAGAUGUAUAUGUGCUUUUAAGAGAGAUAAAGGACCUAAACGGGAAAAAAUAAAGACAAAGGACCAAAGUGUUACAAAUAAAUAAGAUAAAUGACCCAUAAUGUAAUAUUGCCUUAAUUAUAUUUAGGUGUUCAAUCUUAAUUAAUUUACACUACAAGAUUGGCUUAGAACAAUAAAAAUUUCACAUCAAAUUUCUUUAAUCUGAAUGUUCUUAAAUUUAUCAAUUAUAUUUAUAAAAUUUAUUCCUCCCAUUUUGAUUGUUCAAUUUUGUCGUUCCCAACUGCCACAUUUUUCAAUUUUCGUGAGAAUCGUCAUGAUUUCAAAUAUCGUGAGAAUUGCCGUUAUUUCCAGUACAACGUCAGGUAUGAUGACUUGAUUUUUCUUGGUUGUGAGGUAGUUAAUUAAAACAAUCGAGUAAAUCAUCCGUUGUACUUUGAGGGCUGCUAGCAGGUGUUGCCGCUGUGAUGUUGUGGGAGUUUGCUAGCAUUUUUUUGGUUGUUGCUGAAAUGAUUAUGUGAUGAGGCUUUUGUUCUUUUAUUUGGACUUAAAGGCUUUUGCUGAUAGUGAGACAGGUCUAUGCGUGUUAACAGAUUUUAUUAGGUUGACUGCUUAAAUAAAAAAAAAAAGUCACGAUACCUGACGCGGUUCUAAAAACAACGACAAUUCUCACGAUAAUUGGAAAUUGCGGCAAUUUGAAACGACAAAAUUGAACAAUCAAAAUGGGAAGAAGAAUGAAAAAGAAACAAAAAUUGAUCAAUAUGGAAGAAUAAAGAAGAAGAAAUUUGAAAGAAGGAGAUGUUUUUGUUCUCACGUUCGAGGUUCUGGAAUGGAAGAAAUUUUAUGAAUGUAAAUGAUGAAUUUAAGGACAUCCAGAAGAAAGAAAUUUGAUGUAAAAUUUUAUUUGUUAUAAGUCUUGUAGUGUAAAUUAAUUAAGAUUGAACACCUUAAUAUAAAAAAAAAUUAAAUCAUUUGUUGUUUAAAAAAAAUAUUAAAAGUAUUAAAAGUUACCUUAUGAUUAAGAUUAACUCUCCUUCAAAAAAAAAAUUAAGAUUAACUCUUUUAUUUUUAAAAAAAAUCUAUUUAUUUAUUUGACAUUUAAUGUUACCUAUGUAUAUUACAUUUGGAUUGAUUGAUAUCAUGAGAGGAUAAAUUACCCUCUAAAUAAGAGAGGGUAACGUAGACUUCACCUACAUUUCAACUCUAGUCAUAAUGCCAACAAAACAUGUCAUAUCACAGCAUUUAAAUUAGUCUGAAGCAGAUGAAAAAUUUGGUGAUGAAUAAUGGCAAUCAUUAGGCUAUGUUACAACUGGUCAUAUAACAAUAUAAGAUGUUGGAGGACUUGAUCUAAAGUAAUCUAAGUCAAAUAAUUGCAUGGUUUUGUAACCAAUAUGUGACCAAUAAAAGAUAGUUAAACUUUCUCAUUAUUGUAAGGGAAAUCUAUUACAGACUCUAAUUUGAACUACACAAUAUUCCGCUCCUCGCAUAAAAAGUGUUCUAUUUGGAUUAUGUUCUAUUUUUAAAAAAUAAAGGGAAAUGUUAACGAGUCUUUUUUGGGGAAUUCUUUAACGACUAUAAGUAAUAAGUAUUUAUAAAAAAAUUUGUAAUUAAUGCAUUGGAAAUUAAAACGUUUGAUUUUUUUUUAAAAGUAAUUGCUUAUUUUAGAAUGUUUAAGGAGUAUUCCGAAGGCGCUCGUUAACACAAAACCCAUAAAUAAAUUAAUUGUGUUGAUUUCAAUAGUAAAAUUAAUAUCGUUUACUAAAAUAUUCAUAUUAAUUAAUAUGAUUUUACUACUAAAAUACGCUUAGUUUGUGUUUUUUCUUAGUUUGUGUUUAAAUGUUGAGAUAAAGUCAAAGUUUCUAGAUUUAUGGAUAAGAAAAUAGAGGAAAAAGGCAAGGGAGACUAACUUAAAGUCCCAACUUAGUAUGACCCUUUUGAUAAUGAUACGUAAGAUAAAAAUAACAAUUUCUUAAUCAAAAGUUGGUAGCACAAACAUAAGCGUGCCUUUGGUUUCAUGUAGUGAGAAUUGAUUUGAGAAUUCGAUCACUUCAUAAAAUUAUUUUUGUUUUAAAGUAAGUUGAACAUAAAAUAAUUUAUGUUUAUAUUUUUUUUUUAGCGCAUUUUGUAAUUUUUCUAGUUUGUUCAGUAAUCUAAUUAUGAGUGAUAAGAUAAUUAACUCAUGAGAGUUAAUAGAAGAAAGUAUAUCACCACAACAUAAUGGAUAUCUAUCCUUCAAAUAAAAAAUAUAAUUAACAUUUAGUAACAUUUGAAAAUUAUUACUAAAUCAAGAAAAAUGUUACCGAUUAAAAUCAAUAACCUUUGUACAAUUGUUAGGUAUAGUCUGUAUUACUAAAUACAUUAAUAAUGGCAUAAUACACUUUAUAUAGUGAUCAAGGUUGCUAAUUUCCUCAACAAAAAAAAUAAAGGGUCACUAAUAUUAGCAACCGACAACUAAUCAUAACUAACUUAUAGCUAUCUUAAUCUUUCAAAAAAACUUAUAACUAUCCUAAAAAAUAUGAAACUAAUUCUAACAAAUAUCAAACUAUCUAAGAAAUUAUCAAACAAUAUCUUCAUAUGAUUGUUGACUGACCAAAACAAAAAAGAUUCAAUUUCCUAUUUGAACUAGAAGACAAUCGUAUAAGAUGUUUCUCAUGACAAACAAAAAGAUUCUAUAAUUGUACAGAAAAGAUCCAAAACAAGUAUGACUAUUUUUUUCUUUUAUCAGAGUCUAUUGGCUAUUAUUGGCCAUGCCUUAAUCAGUCCAAAUUUUCACAUCAUGAAAAUAUUAAAUAUUUGAAUUUGCACAAGACAAUAUCUCUCCCUUGUCUUUUAACGAGGGUUGUAAAACUGUUUUAUACAUGCAUCCAAUCAAGCCAUGUCAUAAUGGCAAUUGUUUAGGUUACUUCCUCAAAUAUCUCAAAAUAUAAUAAACAUGGGGUGAUCUGAUAAGAUUCAACGCGUAAAAAAGCUUUACACCGUCAGUUUUCAGCAAUUAAUCUCUGCAAAGUAUUUCUGCCUACAAGAUUUGAUAGGAUUCUACAUAUGAUUUUUAUUUUGUUUUGAAAAAAUGGAUCGGAUCCUUCACAUGAACAUGAUAAUGAAAUUCAAGAUACCGUGAAAGAAUUCUUAUUCCCUCUACUUUACAUAUUAAAAUGGUAGGAUUCAUAUUAUAAAGUUAAUAUACAUGCCAUAUAAUUAUCCAAUAUGCAUAUAUUCAAAACAUUCAGUUUAGGAACUCUUGCUGAAGAUGAGUUCACUUACAUCAUCACUUAAAUUCAAUAGGGGAAGAUCAAUCAAUUAUUGUUGAACUGCUUUGCAUAAAAAAUUACUUAAAUUUGAUUUUAUUUAAGCAACACCUCCUUGAUCAAUUUGUCCAAGUUCAUAUAUGAACAACCUCCAGGUCUCGUGUUCUCCUCUGCCUUCUUCUUCAACUCGAUUGCCUUUUUCCUCAUCUUCUUUCCUUUCUCUCCCACCAUCAAUUCAUUGAUAAGUUUCUCCACCUCCUCUCUCUUUACAUUCGUAUCAAUUUCCAUCCCAAUCUCCCAUUCAUUGUAAAUAAGUCUACAGUUUGUUGGCUGAUCACUAAAGAAUGGCCAACACAACAUUGGAAUUCCAGCACAUAUACUUUCAGUGGUUGAGUUCCAUCCACAAUGAGUCAAGAAUCCACCAAUUGAAGGGUGGUUUAAUACUUGCUCUUGAGGACACCAGCUCGCGAUUACGCCUCUAUCUGAAAUUUCAUUCACAAACUCCGAUGACAAAACAAUUGUGCCACCAAUGACAAGAUCAGGCCUAAUGAUCCACAAAAAAGGUUUAUUGCAAUUGGCCAAACCCCAAGCAAACUCUAACAUUUUCUCUUCAUUCAUAACUGUAAGGCUGCCGAAAUUCACAUAAACAACGGAACCCGAUUCCUUCGAUUCAAGCCAUUUAAGACACUCAGUAUCUUCUUUCCAUAUGUUGGAACCAAAAGAAUCCAAUUGAUGGAUUUGUGGAGUUUGGUUUAAUAAUGAAGGUAAAGGGCCAAUGGGGUAAAGAGAAGGAAACAUAGAGGAGAGAGCAUUUAUUACAUCACUCUCAAGUUCAUUGAAAGUAUUCAAAAUAAUAGUAGAGUUUUUAUGAUCUUUAUCAGCCACAUCAAUUACAAAGUU
rnacentral:lncRNA from 1 species